AGGAUAAACGCUGGCGGCGUGCCUAAUACAUGCAAGUCGAACGCACCUUCGGGUGAGUGGCGGACGGGUGAGUAACACGUGGGAACGUGCCUUUGGUUCGGAAUAAUCCGGGGAAACCUGGCCUAAUACCGGAUGUGCCCCCUCCUUUAAUCGGGAGGGUGGGAAAGAUUUAUCGCCAUUAGAGCGGCCCGCGUCUGAUUAGCUAGUUGGUGAGGUAAAGGCCCACCAAGGCUACGAUCAGUAGCUGGUCUGAGAGGAUGAUCAGCCACACUGGGACUGAGACACGGCCCAGACUCCUACGGGAGGCAGCAGUAGGGAAUCUUGCGCAAUGGGCGAAAGCCUGACGCAGCCAUGCCGCGUGAAUGAUGAAGGUCUUAGGAUUGUAAAAUUCUUUCAGCGGGACGAUAAUGACGGUACCCGCAGAAGAAGCCCCGGCUAACUUCGUGCCAGCAGCCGC
rnacentral:rRNA from 1 species